UACAGAGGGUGCAAACGUUGCUCGGAAUUAUUGGGCGUAAAGGGCUCGUAGGCGGUUUGUCGCGUCGGGAGUGAAAACCCAGGGCUUAACUCUGGGCUUGCUUUCGAUACGGGCAGACUAGAGGUAUGCAGGGGAGAACGGAAUUCCUGGUGUAGCGGUGAAAUGCGCAGAUAUCAGGAGGAACACCGGUGGCGAAGGCGGUUCUCUGGGCAUUACCUGACGCUGAGGAGCGAAAGUGUGGGGAGCGAACAGG
rnacentral:rRNA from 1 species